rnacentral:rRNA from 1 species
GACGUAGGGCGCGAGCGUUGUCCGGAUUUAUUGGGCGUAAAGAGCUCGUAGGCGGCUUGUUGCGUCGUCCGUGAAAACCUGUGGCUCAACUACAGGCUUGCGGUCGAUACGGGCGGGCUGGAGUUCGGUAGGGGAGACUGGAAUUCCUGGUGUAGCGGUGAAAUGCGCAGAUAUCAGGAGGAACACCGGUGGCGAAGGCGGGUCUCUGGGCCGAUACUGACGCUGAGGAGCGAAAGCGUGGGGAGCGAACGGG